CCUACGGGUGGCAGCAGUGAGGAAUAUUGGUCAAUGGACGCGAGUCUGAACCAGCCAAGCCGCGUGCAGGAAGACGGCUCUAUGAGUUGUAAACUGCUUUUGUACGGGGGCAAAGACAGAGACGCGUAUCUGGAUGAAAGUAUCUGAAGAAUAAGGAUCGGCUAACUCCGUGCCAGCAGCCGCGGUAAUACGGAGGAUGCAAGCGUUAUCCGGAUUUAUUGGGUUUAAAGGGUGCGUAGGCGGUCGGAUAAGUUAGAGGUGAAAUCCCGAGGCUCAACUUCGGAAUGGCCUUUGAUACUGUUCGGCUAGAGAGGAGUUGCGGUAGGCGGAAUGUAUGGUGUAGCGGUGAAAUGCUUAGAGAUCAUACAGAACACCGAUUGCGAAGGCAGCUUACCAAGCUACUUCUGACGUUGAGGCACGAAAGCGUGGGGAGCAAACAGGAUUAGAUACCCGAGUAGUC
rnacentral:rRNA from 1 species